GGUCCGGUUAGCUCAGUGGUUUGAGCGCAGUGCUGGCAACAAGGACCAACACCGAGGUAGCGGGUUCAAUUCCCGCUCGGCCCC
rfam:Apaloderma vittatum contig92336, whole genome shotgun sequence.